rnacentral:rRNA from 1 species
UACGUAGGGUACAAGCGUUGUCCGGAUUUAUUGGGCGUAAAGAGCUCGUAGGCGGUUUGUCGCGUCGGAUGUGAAAACCCAGGGCUCAACCCUGGGCCUGCAUUCGAUACGGUCAGACUAGAGUAUGGCAGGGGAGACUGGAAUUCCUGGUGUAGCGGUGAAAUGCGCAGAUAUCAGGAGGAACACCGGUGGCGAAGGCGGGUCUCUGGGCCAAAACUGACGCUGAGGAGCGAAAGCGUGGGGAGCGAACAGG